rnacentral:rRNA from 1 species
CCCUUAGACGUUCUGGGCCGCACGCGCGCUACACUGACCAGUGCAACAAGCAUCCGUCCUUGGCCGACAGGCCCGGGCAAUCUUUGAACGCUGGUCGUGAUGGGGAUAGACUUUUGCAAUUUUUGGUCUUCAACGAGGAAUUCCUAGUAAACGCAAGUCAUCAACUUGCAUUGAUUACGUCCCUGCCCUUUGUACACACCGCCCGUCGCACCUACCGAUUGAAUGGUCCGGUGAAUUCUUCGGACUGCGGCUUUGACUCGAUUUCGGUCGAGGCGUUGCUGCGGGAAGUUGAUUAAACCUUACCAUUUAGAGGAAGGUGAAGUCGUAACA